GACGAACGCUGGCGGCGCGCCUAACACAUGCAAGUCGAGCGAGCGAGAGGAGGUUUACUUUCUCAAGCGAGUGGCGAACGGGUGAGUAACGCGUGAGGAGCCUGCCUCAAAGAGGGGGACAACAGUUGGAAACGACUGCUAAUACCGCAUAAGCCCACGACCCGGCAUCGGGUAGAGGGAAAAGGAGCAAUCCGCUUUGAGAUGGCCUCGCGUCCGAUUAGCUAGUUGGUGAGGUAAUGGCCCACCAAGGCGACGAUCGGUAGCCGGACUGAGAGGUUGAACGGCCACAUUGGGACUGAGACACGGCCCAGACUCCUACGGGAGGCAGCAGUGGGGAAUAUUGCACAAUGGGGGAAACCCUGAUGCAGCGACGCCGCGUGGAGGAAGAAGGUCUUCGGAUUGUAAACUCCUGUUGUUGAGGAAGAUAAUGACGGUACUCAACAAGGAAGUGACGGCUAACUACGUG
rnacentral:rRNA from 1 species